rnacentral:rRNA from 1 species
UAGGGAAUCUUCGGCAAUGGGUGCAACCCUGACCGAGCAACGCCGCGUGAGUGAAGAAGGUUUUCGGAUCGUAAAGCUCUGUUGUAAGAGAAGAACGUGUGUGAGAGUGGAAAGUUCACACAGUGACGGUAACUUACCAGAAAGGGACGGCUAACUACGUGCCAGCAGCCGCGGUAAUACGUAGGUCCAGAGCGUUGUCCGGAUUUAUUGGGCGUAAAGCGAGCGCAGGCGGUUUAAUAAGUCUGAAGUUAAAGUCAGUGGCUUAACCAUUGUUCGCUUUGGAAACUGUUAAACUUGAGUGCAGAAGGGGAGAGUGGAAUUCCAUGUGUAGCGGUGAAAUGCGUAGAUAUAUGGAGGAACACCGGUGGCGAAAGCGGCUCUCUGGUCUGUAACUGACGCUGAGGCUCGAAAGCGUGGGGAGCAAACGGG